AUUGAACGCUGGCGGCAUGCUUUACACAUGCAAGUCGAACGGUAACAGGGAAAAGCUUGCUUUUCUGCUGACGAGUGGCGAACGGGUGAGUAACACAUCGGAACGUGCCCUGUAGUGGGGGAUAACUACUCGAAAGAGUGGCUAAUACCGCAUACAACCUGAGGGUAAAAGUGGGGGACCGCAAGGCCUCACGCUAUAGGAGCGGCCGAUGGAAGAUUAGGUAGUUGGUAGGGUAAAGGCCUACCAAGCCGACGAUCUUUAGCGGGUCUGAGAGGACGAUCCGCCACACUGGGACUGAGACACGGCCCAGACUCCUACGGGAGGCAGCAGUGGGGAAUUUUGGACAAUGGGGGCAACCCUGAUCCAGCAAUGCCGCGUGAGUGAAGAAGGCCUCGGUUGUAAGACGUCUUUGUUUGGUAGGAAAUACCUAACGGAUAAUACCUUACGGGGUAGUGACGGUACCGAAACGAAUAAAGACACCGGCGUAACUACGUAGCC
rnacentral:rRNA from 1 species